CCAGGCUGGUCUUCAGCUCCUGAUCUCAGGUGAUCCACCCGCUUCAGCCUCCCAAAUUGCUGGGAUUACAGGCUUGUUUGGACUGAGUUCCAGAUCUGGGCUGUCAUGGAACAUAACAGGGACCCUUCAUGGGGACAGCAAGAAGGUUCACCGACCCAAUUCAGAGGAAGGAAGAGCCUGGCCUUCAAAAUUACUAUGACCAUCAGAAUGCCCUAGGAGAUCAAAGAAAUAACGGAGUGGGUGUGAGACCUUUUACAAAUGUGUGCACUCAAGCAGUGCAAAGGCAAACCUCCUGAAAAGAUUAAGACAUCACUGGGCCAAGCACCCACAUGAUGUCACUCGCCUGCCUGCAUUCUGCCUACAGUGGGUAUUGUGACAUAUCCCUGGCACAGAACCAAGGUAACGUGACUCACCUACCUGGUUCCUGCCCACUGAUGGGAUUGUGACAUAUACCUAGGUCCAGCUCACAGGCAUGAUGAUAACUGUCAUACGUGGACCCAGCCAAUAAGAGAUUUUUGCUCUUAGGCUUAUUACAACAGAGUCUCGCUCUGUCACUCAGGCUGGAGUGCAGUGGCAUGAUCUCAGCCCGCUGCAACCUUCGCCUUCCAGGUUCAAGCAGUUCUCCUGCCUCAGCUCUUGGACAAAACUUCAGCACUCCUGCUAGGGUGUGUCUGCCCUACUAAGACACUGUGCGCAGGUGGAGUUGAGGCUCUUAUGUAUGGAUCCUGUCCACUGUUGAGAUUGUGAAUUGCAUGUGUAGACUCAACUCACAGGAGGUGUUGACUCACAAACCUCCAGCUGGGACAUGUGCAGGAUUAGAAAUUUUAUUUCUGGAUCUUUCUUCAGAAGGCGUUGUAACAUCUCACUAAGCCCAGCACUCAGGCGAUGUGGCUUUCCUGCUAUGGCACUGCACACAAGAAGAAUGUUGACAUAUUCCUGGCCCAGAAUUCAGGUGGAGAUGGAGCUCUCAUGCACGGAUCCUGUCCGAUGUUAAGACUGUGUCUCGUGUAUUUGGAUGCAACUCACAAGAGGUGUUGACUCUCAGACCUAAAGCUGGGAAAUAUGUAGAAUUGUGAAAUUUAUUCCUGGUCCUUCCCGCAGGUGUGAUUGUGGCGUAUAUGUUCACACAGCACUUAAUUUAUUUUACAAUUUGUUUGAACUCAGCCAACUGUUGGGACUGUGACAUAUACCUGGACCAAGUUCCUAGGUGAUGUAACUCUCCAGCCUGGGCCUUACCACAGGGUACAUUGUGACAUAUCUUUGGACUUAUCACCUAUGUGAUGUGACUCUACUGACUUGCCUUGUCUUGGCCUCCAUUGGGGAUUGUGGCAUAUUUCUGUGCCCAGUACCUAAGUUAUGUGACUCUUCUUUCCUGCUUGUGCAUUUAGAAGGGAUUGUGACAUAUUGCUGGGCCAAGAACCUAGGUGAUGUGACUCUCCUGCCUUGGCCCUGCCUUCAGGAAAAAUUGUGAUGUGACUCUGGGUUUAUUACCUAGAUGAUGUGACUCUUGUGUUCUGCAUGGGCAAGCCCAAAGGGGUCAUUGUGGCAUAUCUCUGGGCACAUCAAAGAAGUGGUGUAAUUUUUCUCUCAUUCCAGGACUCUAGUCUCAGUAGGGAUUGUGACAUAUCACUGGGCCCAUAACCUAUGUCAUGUGAUUCUAGUAUCCUGCUUGGGCCCUGCUUACAGGAAAGAUUGUGACAUUUGGCUGGGCCCAUCACCUAGUUAAUGUGACUCUCCUUUUCUUCCUGUGCCCUGCCCUCAGUGGAGAUUGUGACAAAUUUCUGGGCCAAUCAGCUGUGCAAUAUGACUCUGCUCUUUCCUGGGCCCUGCUAUCGGGGAGCAUUGUGACAUAUUGCCAGGCUCAGCACCUAGGUAAUGUGACUCUUCUUGCUGCCUGGGCCCUACUUACAGAAGGGAUUUUGAUGUAUUGCUGAACCAAGAAUUCAGAUGAUGUGACUCUCCUGCCUGUGCGCUGUCUACAGUGGGCAUUGUGACAUAUCAUUGGUGAUGUGACUCUCCUGCCUUGUUCCUGCCCACAGGUGAAAUUGUGGCAUAUACCUGGGUCCAGAUCACAGGCACAAUGAUGACUCUCUUACCUGGACACAGCCAGUGGGAAAUAUUUUGACUUUUGUAGCCAGGCUUAGGGCCACAGGUGGUUUGGUGACUCUCAAACCAUGAUUCAGCAGACCUGUGAGGCUGUGAGUUCCCUAUCAGAACACAAUCUGCAGGUUGUAUUGUGCCAUAUACCUGGGACCAAAUUACAAGCACAAUGAUGAAUCUUUUACCUGGAGUCAAGACAUGGGCAGGAUGAUGGAACUUAUCACUGGACCUUUCCACAGUGUUAUUGUGACAUAUGCCUUUGCCCAACAUGUGGUGAUUUGACUCCCCAGACUGGGUCCAGUUCACAAAUAAAAUUGUGCCGUAUACUUGGCCAAGAACCUAA
rnacentral:lncRNA from 1 species